GUCGGGUUCGGGAUGAAGUGGUUGAUCCGCUCCCCCAUCACCGCCCAGGUGCGUUUGCCGUCCCGGACCAUUUGCACCCCGCGUCGCUUGAACUCCUU
rnacentral:sRNA from 1 species